rnacentral:rRNA from 1 species
UACAGAGGGUGCUAGCGUUGUUCGGAUUUACUGGGCGUAAAGCGCGUGUAGGCGGACUUGUAAGUUGGGGGUGAAAUCCCGAGGCUCAACCUCGGAACUGCCUCCAAAACUACAAGUCUGAAGCAAGAUAGAGGCAAGUGGAAUUGCGAGUGUAGAGGUGAAAUUCGUAGAUAUUCGCAGGAACACCAGUGGCGAAGGCGACUUGCUGGAUCUUUGCUGACGCUGAGACGCGAAAGCGUGGGGAGCAAACAGG